rnacentral:rRNA from 1 species
GACGAACGCUGGCGGCGGGCUUAACACAUGCAAGUCGAACGGAAAGGCCCUGCUUUUGUGGGGUGCUCGAGUGGCGAACGGGUGAGUAACACGUGAGUAACCUGCCCUUGACUUUGGGAUAACUUCAGGAAACUGGGGCUAAUACCGGAUAGGAGCUCCUGCUGCAUGGUGGGGGUUGGAAAGUUUCGGCGGUUGGGGAUGGACUCGCGGCUUAUCAGCUUGUUGGUGGGGUAGUGGCUUACCAAGGCUUUGACGGGUAGCCGGCCUGAGAGGGUGACCGGCCACAUUGGGACUGCGGUACGCCGCAGACUCCUACGGGAGGCAGCAGUGGGGAAUAUUGCACAAUGGGCGGAAGCCUGAUGCAGCAACGCCGCGUGCGGGAUGACGGCCUUCGGGUUGUAAACCGCUUUCGCCUGUGACGAAGCGUGAGUGACGGUAAUGGGUAAAGAAGCACCGGCUAACUACGUG